GACGAACGCUGGCGGCGUGCUUAACACAUGCAAGUCGAACGGAAAGGCCCUGCUUGCAGGGUACUCGAGUGGCGAACGGGUGAGUAACACGUGGGUGAUCUGCCCUGCACUUCGGGAUAAGCCUGGGAAACUGGGUCUAAUACCGGAUAGGAGCCAUUUUUAGUGUGAUGGUUGGAAAGUUUUUUCGGUGUAGGAUGAGCUCGCGGCCUAUCAGCUUGUUGGUGGGAUAAUGGCCUACCAAGGCGGCGACGGGUAGCCGGCCUGAGAGGGUGGACGGCCACAUUGGGACUGAGAUACGGCCCAGACUCCUACGGGAGGCAGCAGUGGGGAAUAUUGCACAAUGGGCGCAAGCCUGAUGCAGCGACGCCGCGUGGGGGAUGACGGCCUUCGGGUUGUAAACUCCUUUCGCUAGGGACGAAGCUUUUUGUGACGGUACCUAGAUAAGAAGCACCGGCUAACUACGU
rnacentral:rRNA from 1 species